rnacentral:rRNA from 1 species
ACUACGGGGGGCAGCAGUGGGGAAUAUUGCACAAUGGGGGAAACCCUGAUGCAGCGACGCCGCGUGAGUGAAGAAGUAAUUCGUUAUGUAAAGCUCUAUCAGCAGGGAAGAAAAUGACGGUACCUGAGUAAGAAGCCCCGGCUAACUACGUGCCAGCAGCCGCGGUAAUACGUAGGGGGCAAGCGUUAUCCGGAUGUACUGGGUGUAAAGCGAUCGUAGACGGCAUUGAAGGUCUGGAGUGAAAGGCGGGGGCCUAACCCCCGGACUGCUGUGGAAACUGUACGGCUGGAGUGCAGGAGAGGUAAGUGGAAUUCCUAGUGUAGCGGUGAAAUGCGUAGAUAUUAGGAGGAACACCAGUGGCGAAGGCGGCUUACUGGACUGUAACUGACGUUGAGGCUCGAAAGCGUGGGGAGCAAACAGGAUUAGAUACCCCUGUAGUC